ensembl:processed_transcript
AACAAUCAUAUAAUAAUUAUGUUGUAGUAAUUAACGUUACUGUAAUGGUUAUUCAUUUAAACCGACUUGUUAAAAAAAUACUUACUUUGCAAUUGGUGUCCAAAUUAAUCCGCGACGAAAUCUUUUAUUACAAUACAAAUCAUGGAUGGUAUAAGGGCUCUGAUUGGCCAUAGCGUUCAUUGUAACUCGGAACACGAUUGGCUGCCUUAACCAAGAAUAGGGUGAAUCUUGGUUCCAGCUUGGAACGUGAUUGGCCUGGUAAAACCAAGAGUAAAACAAAUCUUGGUUCCAGCUCACAAAGUGAUUGGCCGGUUUAACCAAGAAUAACCACGACUUACAGGUGGCAGUAUGAGCUAACCGGCCACUUACUGCCAAGCUUAAUAAAAGUCUUCUAGUUGGUGCAGCCCGGGCUAAAGAAAAAAAAAUGUAAAAGAAAAUAAUAAUAAAACGGCCUUGCCAGAAAGUAGCAGAAUGUCAAUACAAGGCGGUGGCAAUGUGCAUUGAUUUCUGAGUAACUCGUCAUUCGGCGUGCAGGGCUCCUCACACGUUUACUGGAGCAGGACCAGGUAGGGCCUUCAGUAGGGCAGCGCACUAUUCCAGGCAUUUUGACGACUUAACGGCAGGCAGGGCAAAGAGGCCACCACAGAGCAAAUGUGAUC